rnacentral:rRNA from 1 species
AGAGUUUGAUCCUGGCUCAGGAUGAACGCUAGCGGCAGGCUUAACACAUGCAAGUCGAGGGGUAUAUUUCUUCGGAAUUAGAGACCGGCGCACGGGUGCGUAACGCGUAUGCAAUCUACCUUUCACAAAGGGAUAGCCCAGAGAAAUUUGGAUUAAUACCUUAUAGUAUAUAUGAAUGGCAUCAUUUAUAUAUUAAAGAUUUAUCGGUGAAAGAUGAGCAUGCGUCCCAUUAGCUAGUUGGUAUGGUAACGGCAUACCAAGGCAACGAUGGGUAGGGGUCCUGAGAGGGAGAUCCCCCACACUGGUACUGAGACACGGACCAGACUCCUACGGGAGGCAGCAGUGAGGAAUAUUGGACAAUGGGCGCAAGCCUGAUCCAGCCAUGCCGCGUGCAGGAUGACGGUCCUAUGGAUUGUAAACUGCUUUUAUACAGGAAGAAACCCUGGUUCGUGAACCAGCUUGACGGUACUGUAAGAAUAAGGAUCGGCUAACUCCGUGCCAGCAGCCGCGGUAAUACGGAGGAUCCAAGCGUUAUCCGGAAUCAUUGGGUUUAAAGGGUCCGUAGGCGGUUUAAUAAGUCAGUGGUGAAAGCCCAUCGCUCAACGGUGGAACGGCCAUUGAUACUGUUAAACUUGAAUUAUUAGGAAGUAACUAGAAUAUGUAGUGUAGCGGUGAAAUGCUUAGAGAUUACAUGGAAUACCAAUUGCGAAGGCAGGUUACUACUAAUAUAUUGACGCUGAUGGACGAAAGCGUGGGUAGCGAACAGGAUUAGAUACCCUGGUAGUC